CUUGACUGUAGCCUGGAAUUGGGUUCGGGCUUUUCUUGCGCAGACUAGGUGGGAGGCUAUGAAGAUUUCCUUCCGGGGAAGUUGGAGCCAACAGUGAGAGACCACUCUGGAAAGGCUAGAAUCCUCAUGGUGAUCCUUGAAUCAGGACACUUGACAGUUUCAGGUGGGCAGUUUUUCUGGGGCGGAAGCCUCAUAAAAGGUAACUGAGGCGCGCAAAGGUCCCCUCAGUCUGGACGGAAAUCAGACAUUGAGUGUAAAGGCAAAAGGGGGCUUGACUGCAAGACCCACAAGUCGAGCAGGGGCGAAAGCUGGCCUUAGUGAUCCGACGGUUCCGUGUGGAAGGGCCGUCGCUCAACGAAUAAAAGUUA
rnacentral:rRNA from 1 species